ACCUAGUUAAAAGUUUGGUUAAAAUAAAUAAGGAUAAGAAAUCUAGUUAUAUAAUGAAUAGGUUACAAACAUGAGGGGUGGUUUUUGAAUAAAUAGAAAGAUUAUAUAUAAAAUAAAAAUAAAAACCCCAACUACCCAUAUCUGGGCGUGGAACGAUCGAACAGAGAGGAGAAAGAAAGGGGUGAAACCCUAAUUCAUGAGCAGACCUUCAAAUUGAAAGGGGAAUUGAAGCCUAGUUGAAUGCAUGAACUAAGAAUGCUGAUCCUCUAAGCAUACCCAACAUCAAGAACGUGUCAAGGAGAGGUCAAGCAUAGGAGGAUAACGGGUCAAGAUAAGGCAAGGUGACAAAUACACUUAUUGGAGUACUCGAGGUAUGGGAUCGUUGGCUUCAUGAAGAAAUGGAGCUGGAUUUGGAUAAGAGUAUCGCUUGGGUUUUCUCUACAUUUAUUGAAGUGAUGCGGACUUAGUUCGAGUUGAGAGCAAGGAUUGUACGGGGAGAAUGGUCACAUAGUGUAACUCAUAUAGGUUUUGAAGUAUUAAUGUUAUAAAACGUUAUAAAUCCGUUUUAAUGAAUAUAUGGCAUUUCGCAUUUGAACCUUCAUGUGUUUGAUAUGUCUAUUAAAGAACGAAAUUUUUGGGCUCU